CAGCCGUAAACUAUGCUCGCUAGGUGUCAGGCAUGGCGCGACCGUGUCUGGUGCCGCAGGGAAGCCGUGAAGCGAGCCACCUGGGAAGUACGGCCGCAAGGCUGAAACUUAAAGGAAUUGGCGGGGGAGGCACAACAACGGGUGGAGCCUGCGGUUUAAUUGGACUCAACGCCGGACAACUCACCGGGGACGACAGCAAUAUGUAGGCCAGGCUGAAGACCUUGCCUGAAUCGCUGAGAGGAGGUGCAUGGCGUAGACGUCU
rnacentral:rRNA from 1 species